rnacentral:rRNA from 1 species
GACGAACGCUGGCGGCGUGCUUGACACAUGCAAGUCGAACGGAAAGGCCCUGCUUUUGUGGGGUGCUCGAGUGGCGAACGGGUGAGUAACACGUGAGUAACCUGCCCUUGACUUUGGGAUAACUUCAGGAAACUGGGGCUAAUACCGGAUAGGAGCUCCUGCUGCAUGGUGGGGGUUGGAAAGUUUCGGCGGUUGGGGAUGGACUCGCGGCUUAUCAGCUUGUUGGUGGGGUAGUGGCUUACCAAGGCUUUGGCGGGUAGCCGGCCUGAGAGGGUGACCGGCCACAUUGGGACUGAGAUACGGCCCAGACUCCUACGGGAGGCAGCAGUGGGGAAUAUUGCACAAUGGGCGGAAGCCUGAUGCAGCAACGCCGCGUGCGGGAUGACGGCCUUCGGGUUGUAAACCGCUUUCGCCUGUGACGAAGCGUGAGUGACGGUAAUGGGUAAAGAAGCACCGGCUAACUACGUG